GGUUCAACGAUCGUCCAGCGUAAUCCUUUUACAACCAUGGUUAGGCUUCUAAAGUUUUAUUACGGAUCUCACUACUCUAGCAUGGGAAUCGUUCUUCAUUACAUGCUUAGGCUUGAGCCAUUUACAUCUCUGUAUCUAAAUUUUCAGGUUGUCAUUUUGCUCAUAGCUAUCACUGUUUCCUUAAAAUUCGAGCACGUAGCUAUUAUUUUCAAAACAUUAUUCAUGAAUUUGUCAAUACAUAAUUUCUCUUGUUGUAUUUCACCACAGUUCAAAAUAAGGGAUCUUAUCAUAUUAUUUACAUUUAUGCCUG
rnacentral:misc_RNA from 1 species